rnacentral:rRNA from 1 species
GACGGAGGUCCCGAGCGUUGUUCGGAAUUAUUGGGCUUAAAGCGCGUGUAGGCGGAGCCGUAAGUACCUUGUGAAAUCCCCGUGACUCAAUCCGGGAACUGCUUGGUAUACUGCGAUUCUCGAGGCAGGUAGAGGUCACUGGAACCUUAGGUGGAGCGGUGAAAUGCGUAGAUAUCUAAGGGAACGCCUGUGGCGAAAGCGGGUGACUGGGCCUGUCCUGACGCUGAGACGCGAAAGCGUAGGGAGCAAACGGG